UGGGGAAUUUUGGACAAUGGGGGCAACCCUGAUCCAGCCAUGCCGCGUGCGGGAAGAAGGCCUUCGGGUUGUAAACCGCUUUUAUCCGGGAAGAAAAGGUGUCGGCGAACAGUCGGCGCACUUGACGGUACUGGAGGAAUAAGCACCGGCUAACUACGUGCCAGCAGCCGCGGUAAUACGUAGGGUGCGAGCGUUAAUCGGAAUUACUGGGCGUAAAGCGUGCGCAGGCGGUUCGUUAUGUCUGCUGUGAAAGCCCCGGGCUCAACCUGGGAAUGGCAGUGGAAACUGGCGAGCUGGAGUGUGGCAGAGGGGGGUGGAAUUCCACGUGUAGCAGUGAAAUGCGUAGAGAUGUGGAGGAACACCGAUGGCGAAGGCAGCCCCCUGGGCUGACACUGACGCUCAGGCACGAAAGCGUGGGGAGCAAACAGGAUUAGAUACCCCCGUAGUCC
rnacentral:rRNA from 1 species